ensembl:lncRNA
GACAAACAGGACAUUCACUUGAAUCACUACAUGCUACAGAAGUUGCAUCGAUUCCAGAAAACCAGGGAAAUGUUGAGCCAUCUGUAGACUUCAGAACUGGUAUGUAAAAUGUAUUGCUGUGAUGCUUAAUUUCUGUUCAUUAGGGCACCUGACUUUCUGGAUAAAAGGUGUCGAGGUGUGUUGUACAUAUCAUUAGCUUUGCACAGUUCAAUUAUUGUUUCAUUACUGAAUAUGCAAUCUCUGCAGGGAAAUUAAAGCUGUUAUGUUUGUUCCCCCAGCUUGUCAAGUACUAAGCUUUACACCACCAGCAGCAAAUUUACCCUGGCAGCAUAUGGGUGAAAACGCUGGAGGUAUGUAAUACGUUGCACUAAACUAAGUUUUACAUUUAAGUCCAAUUCAUUAAAUGUAUGCAAUUACUUCAAACAUAUUUUUACGUCAAUGAUUAUCAAUAGGAGAAAGUCAUCGCUUUGUAACUGGCCCUUGGACGCCCCUGGCAUCUCGUGUACAGCACAAAGUUUUCAGCUAUGAAGAUUUCCAGAGACUCCAGAAUGAAAACCAAGCUCUGAGGGAAUGCAAUGCACAAGUAGGUGCUCCUUUCAGGUAACGCAUCUGACCGUGAAGGCAGAAAAAGGCGCCGCACAGCUGAGAAGAACUCACAGCCGACCCCUUAAACCUAGGCUGAUCACUGAACUGGAACACUUUCUUUAUCCUGCAGUCAGUAACAUCAAGAAGCCAGAAGUGCCAGACUACACUCACCAAAUCCACCCUGUUUUUUUUGUAUUUUAACUUUAGUAUUGGCUUAUUUCAUUCCGUCUUAACGAUUAUAUUAUAGUUUGUAAAUCCUAUUUCAUACCUGUUACUUGAUUUUGCACAUUAACUAGUACCAAAAUUAUACUUUCAUUUCAUCAGCAUUUUUCAUUCCAUCACAGUGCUUAACUGUUAUUCUAUUGUUAAAUAUAGCUUGAAAAUCCUUGUGCCACAGGUCAGCAUUGCAGUUAUAAUGGUCUGUUCUACUGUUUUUACCUCUGUAUUUUUAUAUAAAUAUAUGUCAAGUUUUGUUUAUCACUGAUAUAAGAUACACAGAUCUUAUUGCAGCAUGGUGUAAAUCUUGUGCUCCAGGUCAGCAAUGCCAUUAUAAUGGUCUAUUCUACUCUAGAGCUUUACUCUAAAUUAUUAUCACUUUUCCUAUUGUUAGAAAUGGCUUGAAAAUGUGAUGUUAUACCUCGAUUAAUUUGGUAUCCUGCACAUUCUUUGGUACCAAAUAUCCUCAUUACUUGUGCUUACUGGUAAUUAUUUUCAUCCCAGAGCUGACCUCUUCAUAUUAUUAACAAUUAUUGUGUUAGUGUUAUAAUUUGCUUGUGGCUUUUUUUUAAACCAAAAUUGUAUUGGAAACCUGCAUGUUCUGUAGUGUGUAUUUAUAUAUUUUUUUUCUGCCUGUCAUUUAUUUCAGUGAUCUGACAUCUUGUUUGAAUGACAGUUACUGUACUUUGAAAUGUGGAAUUAAAACACCAAAUGGAGAUUUGUCUGGUUUGAUCAAUCAUUAUUCUCGAUAAACUGCAUGCUAUAAAUAUUAAAUAUAUAUAUAAAAGCGUCAGAUCGCUCGAAAAUAGCGUUUGCCGUGGAAGGUCCGCCUUCUG